rnacentral:rRNA from 1 species
AUUGAACGCUGGCGGCAUGCCUUACACAUGCAAGUCGAACGGUAGAGGGGGCAACCCCUCGAGAGUGGCGAACGGGUGAGUAAAGCAUCGGAACGUGCCCAGUAGUGGGGGAUAGCCCGGCGAAAGCCGGAUUAAUACCGCAUGAGACCUACGGGUGAAAGGGGGGGAUCGCAAGACCUCUCGCUAUUGGAGCGGCCGAUGUCAGAUUAGGUAGUUGGUGGGGUAAAGGCCUACCAAGCCGACGAUCUGUAGCUGGUCUGAGAGGACGACCAGCCACACUGGGACUGAGACACGGCCCAGACUCCUACGGGAGGGAGCAGUGGGGAAUUUUGGACAAUGGGCGAAAGCCUGAUCCAGCAAUGCCGCGUGCGGGAAGAAGGCCUUCGGGUUGUAAACCGCUUUUGUCAGGGAAGAAAUCCUUUGAGUUAAUACCUCGGGGGGAUGACGGUACCUGAAGAAUAAGCACCGGCUAACUACGUGCCAGCCGCCGCCGUAACAC